UAUAAGCCAUGAAGCAGUGGUGGCAUUUCACAAAUCCUGCUUGAGAGAUCUAAGCCAUUGCCUUUCCUAACAGGCUGAUUCAUCAUCAUCAUCCUUAGCUUCCAUGGCAACCCAAAUUGCAACCUUGUCAUCAAGAUUAAUCCAGCACCCUAAAACCAAAGGGUCCAAGAAAAUCUGGCCGACAACGUCACAUCAGCAUUCUGAGCGCUGGACUCAUCAUAAUUCGGAUCAAAUUAAUGAUGAUCAUGUGAAGGGAAAGAAGAUGAAGAUGAAGCGGAAGCCAAAACACUGGGCACAAGAACGUUCGAGAUUAGGGUUUUGGUACGUGACAACAUCUAUAAGAUACACACUAAGGAAGGCAAGAGCCUUUUACAAUGAGUUCUGCAGCGAGAAGUACGAUGAUAAUCCGAAAGUGUUCAAACAAGUAAUGAUUGCUGACCCUUAUUUCUCAAUCCCAGUGAUCCCCCCUCCAAUGUAAAUUAACACUGUACUUUAGUUAUGUCAAAAGUUCGAAGUUAUAUAUGAUUAUGAGUUAAUUAAGCCAAGGUAAUGUUUAAAAAUAAUAUCGAGCGUACCUAAUUUGAGCUAUAUCUAAAAGUGUUAUGCUGCAAUAAUGUACUAAAUCACACCCAGUGAUACUCUAUAUGAUAAAAGUUUGUAUGUACUAAUAUUCAUUCAAUCCAAUUUGUCAAUUGCACACUUUAAUGUAAAUGUCAAAUUAUAUAUAUAUGUGUUUCUAGCUAGGAUCAACUAAUUAAUUUGUGGGGAGAAAGCGUUAAUAAUCUCCACUCAAGUUAUUGAAUAUAAUCCUGUAAAGUUAGCUUUCUACAUUAUAUGGCACGAUCAUUUUUUUACUUAGGUUUCUGACCUUCAGCGAUUUAUACACUAUCCAUUAUAUCCAUUGAUUUUAGUGUAAAAUCUGCAUGCUUUUAGUUAACAUUUUUGAAAAUAUUAAAUUUAAAUUUAAUAUUACAGUAAAAAAAUCUGUUGGGAACCUACUGUCAUGAUAUAUAACUGGCAAGAGUAAUCCAAAAACCUACUUCAGUGAGAAAUUAUGUACCACAUUUUCUAUGUAACUAGUGAAAUUGAUACUGGGAGGGAGGUGCGGUAAGAACUACUGAUCCAAGAGAUGACUCUAAAAUAUGUAUGAUUAAAAGGACUAAGAAACCUCUAAGGGGAACUGAUCAGUCUUAGCUACUUAAAAUUUAUGUACUAUAAUAUUUGGAAACACUCAAAACGCCAAACGGCCUACAAAAUUUUUUAAAAUUCAUUCAAAAUUCAACUAAGUUAAUCUAUGUCACAUCCUCUUAAAGUUACGAAAAGGUGGUACUACCACAAGAAAUGGCCUCCAUAUAUUUCAAUUCAAUGGCUGCCUUCUGGAGUUUUACAUUUCUAUUUAUAGUUAUGUGUUAAACGAUUCAUAUUGGUGCUUGUUUUCCAAUUUGAUGUUUAAUCUGUUUUCAUUACUACUAUCAAAAUAAGCAUCAAAUUUCCACCACAUAAAAAGAAUCCAUAUGAUAAUGUCAUAUAAGGACCACCAAAGAUAUCAUAUAUUUUCUUGAAGUACUUCAAUUUAUAAUAUAGAGCAAAGUCGGCCGACAUGAUUGAAUGUCGGUGAGGGUAUUCUUUUCUUGGAAAUUAAAUAUGCAUUUGAUUUAUAUCGAAAAGUUAGAGAUCUAGUCCUAUCUUGAUUAUCGUAUCACUCAUUUAUUAAAUAAUAAAAUUUAUAACUUAUAAAAUUACUUAAAUACUAUUUAAUUGAUGAAUGUGACAUCAAUUGGAACUAAAUUAUAAAUUAAAUAUUAAGAUACUUAGUAUUGCUCCUAUAUUUAUGGGUGAUUGAUGAUUAAUAAAUUAAUAAUGGAUAAGGAAGACGCAUGACAUAAUAAAAGAGCUUUCAACAUUUCAAUCUAUGUGGGAUUUAUCUAUGAAAUGGUAGUUAGAAUAGAGUAAUAAAUAAUUUUACAAAAUAACGAAAUUAAUCAUCCAAUAGAAAAGUAUCACAUAAUAUUUAGGUUAAAAUACUGCAAUAAUAAAUGGAAAUUAUAGUAUUAUUAUUUUAAAAACUCACCGGUGGAUCGAGAUCUAAAAACUCAGUACUUUAAAUAUUUUCCCUUAGCCAUGUUUGGCAUGCCGCGUUAUACUGUAUUGGCGCUCUGCAUUGCAUUAAAAUAUGACAAUACGAUGUGUUGGUGCAAAUUUUGUCCCAACUUAUGAUAUGAAAAUUUCGACUGAGGACAACCCCCUUAGGACUUGGGUUCCUCUUUAUUAGAUUUUAUGAUGGUGAGUUCAUUCUUUGGGCUGAUAUUUAUGGGCCUUUAUAUAUGCUCUUCUGAGUUCACUUCCUCAGGCAAUCAGAAGGUCCUUGUCUUGUGAUACUCUACAAAUACAAGGAAAUGAUCAGAGGGCCGGCUUUGCCUGCGUAAACCCUCCGACGGUCAAGUCAAUCAUCGGACUUUUGGAAAUAUAAAUUUAGAAAGAGAAAGAUUAGAGGGAGAAAGUUAGCAUUUUUCCCUUUUGAGUCUCUUUUUUGUCUUACCUUUUAGUGAGAAUGAAAGACAUAUUUAUCGACCAAACUGAUUUGACUUGGGUCCUAGUUAUUUUGAUGACAAAUGUCAUUGUUCUUGUGACAUUUGGCAACACUUGUCCUCUAGUGCCCAUGUGGAUUGACACAUGGAUAUACAAACUUGUCUACAGAUUAGAGGAAUGAACGUUUUAUCCUUAGGUUAUUUUUACUAAGACCUUGGGAUCAUAAGAGCCUUCAAACUUAGGAGGUUUGUUCUAGGAUAAGAGUCUAGAACCUCAGCACGUUUUGAACUUUAAAUCAUUGCCACCUAGUUGAUUUAUCCUAGGUGAUUUUUCUUAGGAUAGGAAUUUAGGACCUUGGCUCCUUUUAGGCUUUGAAACCUUGUUACUUAGGAGGAUCAUUCUAGGUGAUUUGUCCACCACUUCGUGGGCUUAAUUGGGAGGAAAUUUAUUAGACGGGCCUUAUUGAGAUUAAAUUUAUUUGGGCCUUAUUAGACUUAUUUUAUUUUUGGUCCAACACGAUGUUUGGUACUUCUUCGAUAUUGCAUUAAGAAAAAAAUUAAUGUUCACUCGGGUUUAUACUAUAUUAGCUUCUUCUUCUUCGUCUUCUCUAUUUCUCUCUCUUUCUUUUUUCCUUUUCCUCUCUUCUUCUUCGUCGUCCCUGUUACUCUCUCUCUCUUUUUGUUUUAUUUUUUCCUUUUCCCCUCUUCAUCUUCAUCUUCUCUGUUUUUUUCUCUUUUCUUUUUUCCUUUUCCCCUCUUCUUUUUCUUCGUCUUCUCUGAUUCUCACUCUCUCUCUCUCUUUUCUUUUUUUUUUCCCUUUUCCCCUCUUCUUCUUCGUCAUAUUUGUUUCUCUCUCUCAUUUUUCUUUUAUUUUUAUUUUUAUUUUUUUUCCUUUUCCCCUCUUCUUUUUCGUCUUCUCUGUUUCUUCUUCUUCUCAGUUUCUUGUUUGUCAUCUUCUCCUCCAUUUCUCAGUUUCUUAGGGCCCGUUUGGUAUUGUUUUUGAAUUUAUAUUUUCUGAGAAUAAAAAUGAAAAUGAAAAUGGUGUUUUGCAGUUGCUGUAUUUCAAAUUUAAGUAUGCAUCUGAUAUUAUUUUCUGUAUCCUGUAUUUUAAAACUGAAAACAGUAAUAUGCGUUUGGUAUACACAGUUGAAAAUGAUAAAAACAGAGAAUAUGCGUUCGGUAAUACUUUUUUCAAAAACAGUUUUUACUAUUAAGCAUUUACUGUUAACAUAAAUAUUUCUUUAUUAUUGAUUUUGAUGAUAACAAAUUUGAUUAAGAUUUAUUAUUAAUCUUUUAAAAGCUCAAAAUAGUUUUCAUAUACUUUUAAAUCAUCAUUCUCACUUUAUAAAGGCUUUAUUAUAUAUUUUAUGAAAAUAUUUUUGGUUAUUCUCAUGUUAAUGGUUUCAAUUGAAAAAGCUUUGAGAUAUUGCUUAAAAUCCUAAAAAUGGACCUAAUCGACAAGUUUUAUAAAGUUUUAGGCCAUAGUAUAAUUUUAUAAAGUUUUGGAGUCAAAUUAUAAUUUUACAAAAUAGUUACUGUAGAAAACGGUGAUCCGACAUCUUGAUAACGACUCCCCGACAUCGAACAGAAUUGAAGAUUAGUCUCUGGACACUAACGGCGAUCUGACAUCUAGAUAACGGCUCGCCGACAUAGAACAGAAUUGAAGAUUAGUCUCUGGACACUAACGGCGAUCCGACAUCUAGAUAACGACGAUCCGACAUCGAACAGAUUUGAAGAUUAGUCUCUGGACACUAACGGCGAGCCGACAUCUAGAUAACGGCGAUUCGACAAUUUAAAAAUUCAGCCCAACGACGAUCCGACAAAUACAACAUAAUAAUUUAAAACAAAAUUAUUAUAAAAAAUUUACAUGAUGAUAAAGUUUUAGAAUUAACAUUAAUUAAAAAAAAUUACAUUGUCAUUGUUUUUACAUCAUAAUUAAGAUAUAUAUUACAACACAUGAUUUAAACAAAAUAAUUAUAAAAAAAAUACAUGAUAGACAUUAUACAUUACGUAUGUAAUCAUGCCACAUAGAAGCUGCAAUUCUAUCUCUUGUAGCACUCAUCUCGGCGACACUUGCUGGAGAUAAAUCAAUCUUAGUAAGUGGCCUACUAGUGUCUCCUUCUUCGUUGGUAACCAAAUCUUACACAUCAAAAUCCCCAAAUAACCUAUCACUUGCAUUUUCUCGUCAAAUAAAGUUAUGUAAAGCGCAACACGCAAUUGGAAUUAGACGUUGCUUACGUAAACUAUAAUUAUGCAUAUCCCUUAAAAUUGAAAAUCGCGCUUUCAAAACACCAAAGCAUCGCUCAAUUACAUUACGCAAUGAUGAAUAUCUAUAAUUAAGCAACUCAUCACUUAUAGUGUUCCAAAUUUUCUUAGUGAAAGUUGAUGUUUGUAAAUCACCCUUUUUAACAUGGUCAUGUACAAUGCGAAUAAAAACAGUUUCGGUCCGGGUAGACCAAUCAGCCUUAUCCUCAACAUCAACAUCAUGUGAAUCCAUAUCUUGAAAAAUUAGAAAAAAUAACACAUAUCAAAUAAUGAUCAAAUUCAACAUAACAUAUACAUAUUUCAGCAACAUGUCAUACAUUAAAAACUGAAUGGUACCCGAAAAAAUAAAAAAUAAAACAUAUAUCAAAUAUUAAUCAAAUUAAAAACACUGCUAUUAAAUUUUUAGAUAUAAACAUACAAUUUUCAGUACAUGCUAUUAAUCCCCCACUCAAUUUUCAGUAAUGUAAUAACCCCCAAUACGAUUAAUCUACAAUACUCUAGUUUCAGUACAUGCUAUUAAUCUACAAUAUCAUCGUAUUACAAACAAUUAAUUAGCUGAACAAAAAAAAAGAAGGGUGUUUCAGAACCUAUUCAACCCACGAGUUCUAUCACCAGUCAUGACCAAUUCCUUAUUUUAUUGGGUAAUUUUUACCAUAUUUUAUUAGAGAAACUAAAGUGAGAUCACAAAAUAAUUGAAUAAAAAUUAAAACAUUUGCCAUUUCGUCAAAUAUGCAUCAUAAUUUUACAUUCAACAUCUCCUAUUUGUUUGAGGUCCCUUUAAUAAACCAAUAAACUCGAAUUAAGCAUCUGUAUAAAAGAAUUCCCACAAGAAAUUGUUUGUUUUAAUAGAUUUAAUCUCUAAAAUAAAUGAGGAAAAAUCCUAGUAGGUUGGCCAAAAUUUGUCACUACAUAUGAACAACCUCAGAAAUUUUCAGAAGCUUUAAAAAUCACUCAAAUCAUCUCUCAAAAAUUUCAGCUCAUAAACAAAAUAAAUACCGGCAAGUGACAGAUUCGGGAGAGCAACAAUGGUUGGGCAAGUGCAUAUCCGAGUGAGCAACAACGAAGCAGCAGUAGACGAAGAUCCGAGAGAGCAAGUGCAGAUUCGGGAGAGCAAAGAUGAAGUAGCAGUAGCUGGACGGAGACGCAGUAGCAGCAGCUGGAUGGAGUCGGAGCAGCAGCGGUUAUGGCGGAGAAAGAGCAGUGGCAGUGGCUAGCACACCAAGAGCGACCAAGAGAGAGUGGAUCGGGAGAGAAAGAUGUUGGAUGAAGAUAAGGGGAAUGAGAGAGUGCAGAUUUGCUGCAACUGGAUUGAGAAAAUUGAGGGGAAAGAGGGAGCUGCAGUGAAUUGGAUUGAGAGUGAGGGCUGCAGUGAAGAGAAAAGUGAGGGUUGGAGGGUCACGAUUUUUCUUUUGUUUUUUAAGUCAUUUUUAGGUUUAGUCUGUAAAAUUUGGAGAACAUGUUUAACUUGUUUUCAGUUGUGUAGUUAUAAUAAUGAAUCCGGAUUUUGUGUUUUGUAAUUUGUUUUGUGAAAAAAAUUCACCGAACAUGUUUUAUGUGUGUAUUAUAAAAAUGAAAACAAAAACAUGGCUUGAAAAACGGUACCGAACGGGGCCUUAGCUUUUGUGCUUUUGCAUUUGCUGCUUUUUUUUUUUUACUUUUGCUUUUUUUAAAUAAUAUAACUUUUUAAUAUAAUAUAAUAUAAAAUUUUCUUUUCUUUUAUUUUUAUAUCAUAAUUAUUAAUAUAAAUUAAUAAUUUAUUAUUCAUAUUUUAAUUUUUAUUAUAUUAAAAAUAUUACUAAAUAAUGUAUUAUUUAAUAAUAAUUAAGGAAUAGGAAGUUGUAAGGACAUGUAAUCACUAAUCAUCUAACAUCAUUAAAGAUAGUUGUCUUGAUUCAUUUCAACAACUAAGAGUAUUAGGAUCAUACUUAUAUAAUUACAUUAUAAUCCAAUAUAAAAUGUUUGCUACAACUUCAUAAUCUGACAGGGCCAUGCAUAUCAACAUAGCUCCACCCUCUGAUGUUGUCAUCAGUUGGAAAAGCUUAUUUUGCAAAAAUUAAAUGAAUCCUUUCUAGAUUAGAGAGAAUACUAAGGAACCAAGUUUUCUUAUAAUGUUACACUUAUCACUAUUGGUUGAUCAAAAGAAGUAGUCAGUAAUUUUAGUGGUAAUGAAAUUUACAAUUACAUAGGUGAGUGCCAUCUAGCUAGUGCUGCUGCUAGCCUCAAAAUCCCUUCUUUGAUAGCACCGCAGCCAUAAUUUUCAAAGGCUUGGGUCCCACUUCUGCUCCAUGUGGUCUCUGUUUCUUAAGCCUCUUCUCUUCAUUUUUGGCUGCCAAACUUCACAUUUUAUAGCCAAUUAAGUCUGCUGCCUCUCCUUAUUUCCGCUGCCAAGCUUCCCCUUGAUUAUCCAAUUGUUUGGAGGCCACACAAAUUUCUACAGGAGGCGAUGUGUUAUGCAAGACUCCUUUGAGGACUACUUCAGAUUUAUUAUCAAUUUUACCCGCCACAUGUCAUCAUUUUAGAUCGAACUAAAAUACAAUAAAAAGUAAUUUUAUUAAGUUCAAUUAAUUAACCUGUUUGAUUUUAAAACAAAACACAAAAAGAUGUGACUUUUCUCAAAGUUCAAACUGUCUCAUUUUGCAAAGCCACGAAACCCACAUAAUUCUUUUUUUUUUUUUUUCUCUUUUAGUUACAAGAAAUAAUGGUGGAAGGUUAUUAGGUGACAGCUCUCCUGAGGAUCAGGAGCUUGACAGAAUGUUUUUAUCUUUUUUGUGACAUAUCAAAUCACAAUUUUCUUUUUUCACUGAUAUUAGUCAGAUUUGAUUCAGAACAUGUACGCUUACGAAGGCCUGGAAAUUAAAUGUGCGUUGGAUUCUUUAUAGCUCUUUAAGAUAAUGCUUAAUAUUUAUGAUUUUUUAAAUAAAAUAUUCAAGAAUCUCAAUUUCCUCCCCCAACUUAGGAAGAGAGCUCAAUUCUCACCAGUAACACAACCCAAAUAAGUUUUUUUCAUAAUUUGUUGGAUUAAAUUUCCCUUUUAUCAAAGUAGGUUUUCAAGUUCCCAACAAACUUCUUAAGACUGCAGUCAAACAUUUCAGAAAGCUUGGGGAAUUGACAGAUAAAGACUGAGAAAGAAACACAGCGAUUGGAGCAUGGUACCGUGGCAUGAAAGUAUUGAACUAUUGACAGAUGAAAAUAAACGAGUCAUGUAGUACUUGGAUAAUAAGAGUUCGUAUCCUUAAAGUACACUCGUUUAUUAAAAUUACAAGAAACUCAAAUAAUAUCAACACAAAAUCGUACCAACUAAAAACAAGAACUAAUAUCUUAUGAAGGUUGGUGAUUACUAUUAGUUGGUUUAUUAAACGACAUUUGUUGCCCUUGAACAUUGUCAAUGACUACUAAAAAGAUUUGAGAUAGUGGAGGAUUUUUGCAUGACUGGCAACUGUAUACCAUUUAUUCUUCCAUCAUUUUCAGACCCUUGUAAUCAAAUAGUUACUCAGAUUGUUAGUGGCCGUGUGUUCUUGGUUUAUUUUUUAUCGGUAUUUUUUAGAGUUUUCUCAGUAUCAUAUUUUUAUUAAAGGUUUUCUCAUUUCACCAGCAUCCAUGCUUAUUGUGAGCAUGUUUACAGUUGCCGGAACAUUUAAUAUUAGAAAUGAAAUAAUUAGAUAUGCAUUGACUUUAGCGUUCACUUUGCAUCAAGUUUUUAUACAUUUCUUUUUGGCAAAAAAUACUGUUUGGAUUCAUGCCCUAACAUUACUUAAGUUUAUUCUUCCAUCCUUUUCAGACCAUUGUAAUCAAAUGGUUACUCAGAUUGUUAGUGGCCGUGUAUUCUUAGUUUGUUUUUUAUCGGUAUUUUUUAGAGUUUUUACUGAAUAUCAUAAUUUUGUUAAGCGUUUUCCCAUUUCACCAGCUUCCAUGCUUAUUGUGAGCGUGUUGAUAGUUGCCGGAACAUUUAAUAUUAGAAAUUAAGUAAUUAGAUAUGCAUUGACUUUAGCGUUCGCUUUGCAUCAAGUUUUUAUACAUUUCUUUUUGAAAACAAAUACCGUUUAGAUUCAUAACAUAGCAUUACUUAAGUUUAUUCUUCCAUCCUUUUCAGAUCCUUGUAAUCAAAUGGUUACUCAGAUUGUUAGUGGCCGUGUGUUCUUGGUUUAUUUUGUAUCGGCAUUUUUUAGAGUUUUUGCUGAAUAUCAUGAUUUUGUUAAGCGUUUUCUCAUUUCCCCAGCUUCCAUGCUUAUUGUGAGCAUGUUGACAGUUGCCGGAACAUAUAAUAUUAGAAAUGAAGUAAUUAGAUAUGCAUUGACUUUAGCGUUCGCUUUGCAUCAAGUUUUUAUACAUUUCUUUUUGAAAACAAAUACCGUUUGGAUUCAUACCCUAGGAUUACUUAAGUUUAUUCUUCCAUCAUUUUCAGACCCUUGUAAUCAAAUGGUUACUCAGAUUGUUAAUGGUCGUGUGUUCUUGGUUUGUUUUUUAUCGGUAUUUUUUAGAGUUUUUGCUGAAUAUCAUGAUUUUGUCAAGUGUUUUCCCAUUUCACCAGCUUCCAUGCUUAUUGUGAGCGUGUUGAUAGUUGCCGGAACAUUUAAUAUUAAAAAUGAAGUAAUUAGAUAUGCAUUGACUUUAGCGUUCGCUUUGCAUCAAGUUUUUAUACAUUUCUUUUUGAAAACAAAUACCGUUUGAAUUCAUACCAUAUCAUUACCUAAGUUUAUUCUUCCAUCUUUUUUGCACCCUAUCAUUUCUUUUGUAAUAAAAUGGUUAGUCAGAUUUUUAGUGGCCGUGUGUUCUUGGUUUGUUUUUUAUCGGUAUUUUUUAGUGUUUUUGCUGAAUAUCUUGAUUUUGUUUAGGGUUUUCUCAUUUGACCAGCUUCUAUGCUUAUUGUGAGCAUAUUGACAGUUGCUGGAACAUUUCAUGUUAGAAAUGAAGUAAUUAGAUUUACAUUGACCUUAACGUUCGCUUUGUAUUAAGUUUUUAUACAUUUUUUUUUUUUAAACAAAUACCGUUUGGAUUCAUACCCUAGCAUUAUUUAAGUUUAUUCUACCUCACUUUUGUAUCAUAUAUAAAGUAGGUAGCCUAAAAAUACAUUCUUUGCUGGCACCAUAGCUUUCAAAGUCUUGGGUCCCAGUAUUGCUACUUGUGCCUCUGUUUUUUAAGCCUUUGCAUCUCCCCAUUUUGGUUGCCAAGCUUCUCAUUUUGUAGCCAACUAAGCUUCUGCCUCUCCCCAUUUUUGCUGCCAAACUUCCCAUUUUAUUGACCAACUGUUUGGCGGCCACGUGAAAUUUUACAAAAGCUUGCCCUUUAUGCAAGACUCCUUUGAGGGUUACUUUCCAUUUGCUGUCAAAUUUACUUGCCAUGUAUCAUUGUUUUGGAUAGAACUAAAAUACAAUAAAAAUUAAUUUUAUUAGGUUCAAUUAAUUAACCUAUUUGAUUUUAAGAAGAAAAAAAAUCCAAAAAAAUUGAUUUUUUAUCACGUUUAAACUGUUUUAUUUUACAAAGCAACCAAAGCCAUACAAUUCUUUUCUUUUUUUUUUAAUUAAGUUAUAAGAGAUAAUGAUGGAAGGUUGAUUAUUUUCAUUUGACAAGGCCAGGUUGUAGAAGCUGCAACCAACGGCCUCGACAUUUUCACCUUGCAUGAACAAAUGCCUUGGCCUGGUUGCAUCAGCACAAACACGCGUGGAGGAUUCCGAUUGGCUAUGUUACGUGCAGAAGUUAUAACAUAGCAAGGUCCAUUUUCAGAGUCUUCAUACAGUAAUCAAAUGGCUACUCAAAUUGUUAGUGGUCGUGUGUUUUUAGUUUUUUUUUUUAUCGGUAUUUUUUAGAGUUUUUGCUCAAUAUCGUGAUUUUUGUUAAAGAUUUUCUCAUUUCACUAGCUUCCAUGCUGAUUGUAAGCAUGUUUACAGUUGCUGGAACAUUUAAUAUUAGAAAUGAAGUAAUUAGAUAUGCAUUGACUUUAGCGUUCGCUUUGCAUCAAGUUUUUAUACAUUUCUUUUUGGAAAAAAAAUACCGUUUGGAUUCAUACCCUAACAUUACUUAAGUUUAUUCUUCCAUCCUUUUCAGACCAUUGUAGUCAAAUGGUUACUCAGAUUGUCAGUGGCCGUGUGUUCUUGGUUUUUUUUAUCAGCAUUUUUUAGAGUUUUUUUUAAUAUCAUGAUUUUGUUAUGUAUUUUCUCAUUUCACCAGCUUCCAUGAUUAUUGUGAGCAUGUUGAUAGUUGUCGGAACAUUUAAUAUUAGAAAUGAAGUAAUUAGAUAUGCAUUGACUUUAGCGUUCGCUUUGCAUCAAGUUUUUAUACAUUUCUUUUUUAAAACAAAUACCGUUUGGAUUCAUACCAUAUCAUAACCUAAGUUUAUUCUUCCAUCUUUUUCACACCCUAUCAUUUCUUUUGUAAUAAAAUGGUUACUCAGAUUUUUAGUGGUCGUGUGUUCUUGGUUUGUUUUUUAUCGGUAUUUUUUAGUGUUUUUGCUGAAUAUCUUGAUUUUGUUUAGGGUUUUCUCAUUUUACCAGCUUCUAUGCUUAUUGUGAGCAUAUUGACAAUUGCUGGAACAUUUCAUGUUAGAAAUGAAGUAAUUUGAUUUGCAUUGACUUUAACGUUCACUUUGCAUCAAGUUUUUAUACAUUUCUUUUUUGAAACAAAUACCGUUUGGAUUCAUAUCCUAGCAUUACUUAAGUUUAUUCUUCCAUCAUUUUCAGAUCCUUGUAAUCAAAUGGUUACUCAGAUUGUUAGUGGCCGUGUGUUCUUGGUUUAUUUUGUAUCGGCAUUUUUUAGAGUUUUUGCUGAAUAUCAUGAUUUUGUUAAGCGUUUUCUCAUUUCCCCAGCUUCUAUGCUUAUUGUGAGCAUGUUGACAGUUGCCGGAACAUAUAAUAUUAGAAAUGAAGUAAUUAGAUAUGCAUUGACUUUAGCGUUCGCUUUGCAUCAAGUUUUUAUACAUUUCUUUUUGAAAACAAAUACCGUUUGGAUUCAUACCCUAGGAUUACUUAAGUUUAUUCUUCCAUCAUUUUCAGACCCUUGUAAUCAAAUGGUUACUCAGAUUGUUAGUGGUCGUGUGCUCUUAGUUUGUUUUUUAUCAGACACUUUUAGAGUUUUUGCUGAAUAUCAAGAUUUUGUUAAGCGUUUUCUCAUUUCACAAACUUCCAUGCUUAUUGUGAGCAUAUUGACAGUUGCCAGAAUAUUUAAUAUUAGAAAUGAAGUAAUUAGAUAUGCAUUGACUUUAGCGUUCGCUUUGCAUCAAGUUUUUAUACAUUUUUUUUUGGAAAAACAAAUACCGUUUGGAUUCAUACCCUAGCAUUACUUAAGUUUAUUCUUCCAUCAUUUUCAGACCCUUGUAAUCAAAUGGUUACUCAGAUUAUUAGUGGUCGUGUGUUCUUGGUUUGUUUUUUAUCGGCGUUUUUUAGAGUUUUUGCUGAAUAUCAUGAUUUUGUUAAGCGUUUUCUCAUUUCACCAGCUUCCAUGCUUAUUGUGAGCGUGUUGACAGUUGGCGGCACAUUUAAUAUUAGAAAUGAAUUAAUUAGAUAUGCAUUAACUUUAGCGUUCGCUUUGCAUCAAGUUUUUAUACAUUUUUUUUAAAACAAAUACCCUUUGGAUUCAUACCAUAUCAUUACCUAAGUUUAUUCUUCCAUCUUUUUCGCACCCUAUCAUUUCUUUUAUAAUAAAAUGGUUAGUCAGAUUUUAGUGGCCGUGUGUUCUUGGUUUGUUUUUUAUCGGUAUUUUUUAGUGUUUUUGUUGAAUAUCAUGAUUUUGUUUAGGGUUUUCUCAUUCCACCAGCUUUUAUGCUUAUUGUGCGCAUAUUGACAGUUGCUGGAACAUUUCAUGUUAGAAAUGAAGUGAUUAGAUUUGCAUUGACUUUAACGUUUGCUUUGUAUUAAGUUUUUAUACUUUUUUUUUAAACAAAUACCGUUUGGAUUCAUAUCCUAGCAUUAUUUAAGUUUAUUACACCUCACAUUUGUAUCACAUAGAAAGUAGGUAGCCUCAAAAUACCUUCUUUGUUGGCACCAUAGUUUUCAAAGGCUUGGGUCUUAGUGUUGCUGCAUGUGCCUCUGUUUCUUAACCUUUUGCAGCUCCCCAUUUUGGUUGCCAAGCUUCUCCUUUUGUAGCCAACUAAGCUUCUACCUCUCCCCAUUUUUGCUGCCAAACUUCCCAUUUUAUUGACCAACUAUUUGGCGGCCACGUGAAAUUUUACAAAAGCUUGCCCUUUUAUGCAAGACUCCUUUGAGGGUUACUUCCCAUUUGCUAUCAAAUUUACUCGCCAUGUAUCAUUGUUUUAGAUAGAACUAAAAUACAAUAAAAAAUAAUUUUAUUAGGUUCAAUUAAUUAACCUAUUUGAUUUUAAGAAGAAACAAAAUUCAAAAAAAUUGAUUUUUUUAUCACGUUUAAACUUUUUUAUUUUACAAAGCAACCAAACCCAUACAAUUUUUACUUUUUUUAUUUAAGUUAUAAGAGGUAAUGGUGGAAGGUUGAUUACUUUCAAAGGACAAAGCUAGGUUGUAGAAGCCGCAACCAACAGCCUCGACAUUUUCACCUUGCAUGAACAUAUGCCGUGGUCUGGUUGCAUCAGCAUAAACACGCGUGGAGGAUUCAGAUUGGCUAUGUUACGUGCAGAAGUUGUAACAUAACAAGGUCCAUUUUCAGAGUCUUCAUACACUAAUCAAAUUGAUACUUAAAUUGUUAGUGGUCGUGUGUUUUUAGUUUGAUUUUUAUCAGUAUUUUUUAGAGUUUUCUCAGUAUCAUAUUUUUAUUAAAGGUUUUCUCAUUUCACCAGCUUCCAUGCUUAUUGUGAGCAUGUUUACAGUUGCUGGAACAUUUAAUAUUAGAAAUGAAGUAAUUAGAUAUGCAUUGACUUUAGCGUUCACUUUGCAUCACGUUUUUAUACAUUUCUUUUUGGAAAAAAAUAUUGUUUGGAUUCAUGCCCUAACAUUACUUAAGUUUAUUCUUCCAUCAUUUUCAGACCCUUGUAAUCAAAUAGUUACUCAGAUUGUUAGUGGCCGUGUGUUCUUGGUUUAUUUUUUAUCGGUAUUUUUUAGAGUUUUCUCAGUAUCAUAUUUUUAUUAAAGGUUUUCUCAUUUCACCAGCAUCCAUGCUUAUUGUGAGCAUGUUUACAGUUGCCGGAACAUUUAAUAUUAAAAAUGAAGUAAUUAGAUAUGCAUUGACUUUAGCGUUCACUUUGCAUCAAGUUUUUAUACAUUUCUUUUUGGCAAAAAAUACUGUUUGGAUUCAUGCCCUAACAUUACUUAAGUUUAUUCUUCCAUCCUUUUCAGACCAUUGUAAUCAAAUGGUUACUCAGAUUGUUAGUGGCCAUGUGUUCUUGGUUUAUUUUUUAUCGGUAUUUUUUAGAGUUUUUACUGAAUAUCAUGAUGUUGUUAAGCGUUUUCUCAUUUCACCAGCUUCCAUGCUUAUUGUGAGCGUGUUGACAGUUGCCGAAACAUAUAAUAUUAGAAAUGAAGUAAUUAGAUAUGCAUUGACUUUACGUUCGCUUUGCAUUAAGUUUUUAUAGAUUUUGUUUUGAAAACAAAUACCGUUUCGAUUCAUAUCCUAGCAUUACUUAAGGUUAUUCUUCCAUCCUUUUCAGACCCUUGUAAUCAAAUGGUUACUCAGAUUGUUAAUGGCCGUGUGUUCUUGGUUUGUUUUUUAUCGGCAUUUUUUAGAGUUUUUACAGAAUAUCAUGAUUUUGUUAAGCGUUUUGUCAUUUUACCAGCUUCCAUGCUUAUUGUGAGCGUGUUGACAGUUGCCGGAACAUUUAAUAUUAGAAAUGAAGUAAUUAGAUAUGCAUUGACUUUACGUUCGCUUUGCAUUAAGUUUUUAUAGAUUUUGUUUUGAAAACAAAUACCGUUUGGAUUCAUACCCUAGCAUUACUUAAGUUUAUUCUUCCAUCCUUUUCAGACCCUUGUAAUCAAAUGAUUACUCAGAUUGUUAGUGGCCGUGUGUUCUUGGUUUGUUUUUUAUCGGCAUUUUUUAGAGUUUUUACAGAAUAUCAUGAUUUUGUUAAGCGUUUUCUCAUUUUACCAACUUCCAUGCUUAUUGUGAGCGUGUUGACAGUUGCCGGAACAUUUAAUAUUAGAAAUGAAGUAAUUAGAUAUGGAUUGACUUUAGCGUUCGCUUUGCAUCAAGUUUUUAUACAUUUUUUUUGGAAAAACAAAUACCGUUUAGAUUCAUACCCUAGCAUUACUUAAGUUUAUUCUUCCAUCCUUUUCAGACUAUUGUAAUCAAAUGGAUACUCAGAUUCUUAGUGGCUGUGUGUUCUUGGUUUGUUUUUUAUCGGCAUUUUUUAGAGUUUUUGCUGAAUAUCAUGAUUUUGUUAAGCGUUUUCUCAUUUCACCAGCUUCCAUGCUUAUUGUGAGCGUGUUGACAGUCGCCGGAACAUUUAAUAUUAGAAAUGAAGUAAUUAACUUUAGCGUUCGCUUUGCAUCAAGUUUUUAUACAUUUCUUUUUUAAAAUAGAUACCGUUUGGAUUCAUACCAUAUCAUUACCUAAGUUUAUUCUUCCAUCUUUUUCACACCCUAUCAUUUCUUUUGUAAUAAAAUGGUUACUCAGAUUUUUAGUGGCCGUGUGUUCUUGGUUUGUUUUUUAUCGGUAUUUUUUAGUGUUUUUGCUUAAUAUCAUGAUUUUGUUAAGGGUUUUCCCAUUUCACCAGCUUCUAUGCUUAUUGUGAGCAUAUUGACAGUUGCUGGAACAUUUCAUGUUAGAAAUGAAGUAAUUAGAUUUGCAUUGACUUUAAUGUUCGCUUUGUAUUAAAUUUUUAUAGAUUUUUUUUUGGAAACAAAUACCGUUUGGAUUCAUAUCCUAGCAUUAUUUAAGUUUAUUCCACCUUACUUUUGUAUCACAUAGAAAGUAGGUAGCCUCAAAAUACCUUCUUUGCUGGCACCAUAGUCUUCAAAGGCUUGGGUCCCAGUGUUGCUGCUAUGUUUAUUGUGAGCAUGUUAAAGGUUGCCGCAACAUUUCAUAUUAGAAAUGAAGUAAUUAGAUAUGUACUGACUUUAACGUUGAUUUUGUAAAAAGUUUUUAUACAUGUUUUUAAAAACAAAUACUGUUUGGAUUCAUACCCUAGAAUUACUUAAGUUUAUUCUUUCAUAUUUUUCAUACCCUACCAUUUCUUUUAUAAUUAAAUGGUUACUCAUAUUGUUAGGGGUCGUGUGUUCUUGGUUUGUUUUUAUCGGUAUUUUUUAGAGUUUUUGCUGAAUAUCAUGUUUUUGUUACGCGUUUUCUCUUUUCACCAGCUUCCAUGCUUAUUGUGAGCAUGUUGACGGUUGACGGUUGACGGUUGCCGGAACAUUUAAUGUUAAAAAUGAAGUAAUUAGAUAUGCAUUGACUUUAGCGUUCGCUUUGCAUCAAAUUUUUAUACAUUUCUUUUUGAAAACAAAUAUCGUUUGGAUUCAUACCCUAGCAAUAGUUAAGUUUAUUCUUUCAUCAUUUUCAAACCCUUGUAAUCAAAUGGUUACUCAGAUUGUUAGUGGCCGUGUGUUCUUGGUUUGUUUUUAUCGGUAUUUUUUAGAGUUUUUGCUGAAUAUUAUGAUUUUGUUAAGCGUUUUCUCAUUUCACGAGCUUCUAUGCUUAUUGUGAGCAUUUUAACAGUUGCCGAAAUAAUUCAUAUUAAAAAUGAAGUAAUUAAAUAUUUAUUGACUUUACCGUUUGCUUUGCAUCAAGUUUUUAUACAUUUUUUUAAAACAAAUAUCGUUUGGAUUCAUACUCUAGAAUUAGUUAAGUUUAUUCUUCCAUCCUUUUCAGACCCUUGUAAUCAAAUGGUUACUCAAAUUGUUAGUGGCCGUGUGUUCUUGGUUUUUUUUAUCGGUAUUUUUUAGAGUUUUUGCUGAAUAUUAUGAUUUUGUUAAGCAUUUUCUCAUUUCACAAGCUUCUAUGCUUAUUGUGAGCAUUUUGAUAGUUGCCGGAAUAUUGAUAUUAGAAAUGAAGUAAUUAAAUAUUUAUUGACUUUACCGUUCGCUUUGCAUCAAGUUUUUAUACAUUUCUUUUAAAACAAAUACCAUUUGGAUUCAUACCCUAGCAUUACUUAAGUUUAUUCUUCCAUCCUUUUCAGACCCUAUCAUUUCUUUUAUAAUCAAAUGGAUACUCAUAUUGUUAGGUGCCAUGUGUUCUUGGUUUGGUUUUUAUCGAUAUUUUUUAGAGUUUUUACUGAAUAUCAUGAUUUUGUUAAUGGAAGCUUAUUUCGCAAAAAUUAAAUUGGUCAUUUCUAUAUUAGAGAGAAUACGAAAGAACUAUGUUUUUUAUAUUCCGAGGAGCUCAGAAAGAGUUCAUAGAAAAUCACCACCUCAUGAAAAAAUCAAAAUAUAUUUGUCCCCCACACAACUAGAUAAUGCUAAUACAAUUAUCACUAUUAUAUCCCGACUGAUAUCCCCGAUGAUAUUUGUCUAUUGGUAGAUCAUAAGGAGUAACAAGUAAUUUAGUAGUAAUGAAAUUUAAAAUUUACUGUUACAAAGGUGAGUGUCACCUCGCUUUUGUAUCAUAAAAUAAGCAGCUAGCCUCAAAAUCUCUUUUCUGCUGGCACCAUAAUCUUCAAAAGCUUGGGUCCUACUUUUGCUCUAUGUGCCUUUGUUUCUUGAGCCUCCGCCUCUCCUUAUUUUUACUGCUAAGCUUCCCCUUUUAUUAGCAAAUUGUUUCAUUCAAUGCAUAUACAAGCAAAUUCUGUUGGUCACUCUCACUCAUCUUGGUCAUUCAGAAAUUUUAUUUGAACUUCCAUCAUUACUUAAAUUUAUUCUUCCAUCGUUUUCAUACCCUAGCAUUUCUCUUGUAAUCAAAUGGUUACUCUUUAUGGGGGUGUGUUUUUUAUUUGUUUUUUAUGGGUAUUUUUUUAGAGUUUUUACUGAAUAUCAUGGUUUUGUGUAGGGUUUUCUCAUUCCACCAGCUUCCAUUCUUAUUAUUAGCAUGCUGACAAUUGCUGAAACAUUUCAUAUUAGAAAUGAAGUAAUUAGAUAUGCAUUGACUUUAACAUUCGCUUUGCAUCAAGUUUUUAUACAUUUCUUUGUGGAAACAAAUUUUGUUUGGAUUGAAGCAUCCACAAUAUUCUCAGUAGGAGCGAUCUUUGGAAUCAGAGGCUUUGGUUGUUGGAUGCAAAACAACGAAAAUAGGGUAGCUACUGGAGAAGAAAGUGCUGGUGGCGCUAAUGGAUAAGUAGUUCAACAAAUAAAAGCAAAAGUCAGACAUUAGUCAGACAUUAGUUAUGCUUUUACAUAUUCUACAUGACACCAGUUCAACAAAUAGAAACAAAACUCCUUGUAGAUAUUCUACAUGACAUUUACAAAAGUCAAACAUUAGUUAUGCUUCAGACAACUUGAAGACAAUGAUUCUUUGUUUAUUCAGCCCUUUCACUCCAUUUUGAUGGUUUUUGUAACUUUAGUUCAGUACAAAAUAUUGAUGAGUUAUUUGUACAAUUAGUACAUAAUUGAAGAGUAUAUUUUAUGGUAAUCACUAACCAUCUAGCGUCAUUAAAAUUGGUUGUCUUAAUGCAUUUCAACAACCAAGAAUUUUGGGAUCAUAAAACUUGAAAAUAUAAUUGCAUGAAUCCGAUACAAAAUGUUUCUUACAGCUUGAAAAUAUGUAAAGGCCAUGCAUAUCAACAUCGCUCCGCCCAUGAUAUUGUCAUCAAUAGAAGCUUAUUUAGCAAAAACUAAAUUAGUCGUUUCUCGAUUAGAGAGAAUACUAAGAAACCAUGUUUUUUAUAUUGCGAGGAGUCCAAAAAGAGUUUAUAGAAAAUCACCACCCCAGGAAAAAAAUCAAAAUAUAUUUGUCCCCCAUACAACUAUAUAAUGCUACUACAAUUAUCACUAUUAUAUUCCAACUGUUAUUCUCGGUGAUAUUUGUCUAUUGGUUGAUCACAAAAAGUAACAAGUAAUUUUACCUGUAAUGAAAUUUGAAAUUUAUUGUUACAAAGGUGAGUGUCACCUCGCUUUUGUAUCACAAAGCGAGCAGCUAGCCUUAAAAUCCCUUUUCUGCUGGCACCACAGUCUUCAAAAGCUUGGGUCCCACUUUUUCUCCAUGUGCCUCUGUUUCUUGAGCCUCUGCCUCUUCUUUUUCCCAUUUUUGGCUCCAAAGCUUCCCUUUUUAUAGCCAAUCAAGUCUAUGCCUCUCCCCAUUUUUGCUGCUAAGCUUCCCCUUUUAUUAGAAAAUUGUUUCAUCGCAUGCAUAUACAAGGAAUUUCUGUUGGUCACUCUCACUCAUCUUGGUCAUUCAAAAUUUUUAUUUGAACUUCCAUUAUUACUUAAGUUUACUCUUUCAUCUUUUUCAUACCCUAGCAUUUCUCUUGUAAUAAAAGGGUUACUCAGAUUGUUUGUGGCGCUGUAUUCUUGGUUUCUUUUUUAUCGGCAUUUUUAAAAGUUUUUGCUGAAUAUCUUGGUUUUGUUAAGGAUUUUCUUAUUCCACUAGCUUCCAUACUUAUUGUGAGCAUGUUGACAGUUGCCGGAACAUUUUGUAUUAGAAAUGAAGUAAUUAGAUAUGCAUUGACUUUAGUGUUUGCUUUGUAUCAAGUUUUUAUACAUUUCUUUGUGUAAACAAAUACCGUUUAGAUUGAAGUUUUCGUAAUAUUUUUAGUAGGAGCCAUCUUUGGAAUCAGAGGAUUUGGUUGUUGGAUGCAAAACAACGAAAACAGGGUAACUGCUGGAGAAGAAGGUGCUGGUGGCGCUAAUGGAUAAGCAGAUCAACAAAUAGAAGAAAAAGGCAAACAUUAGUCAGACAUUAGUUCUGCUUGUACAUAUUCUACAUGACAGCAGUAAAAGUCAGACAUUAGUUAUGCUACAGGCAAUUUGAAGAUGUUGAUUCUUUAUUUAUUAUGCCUUUUACUUCAUUUUGAUGGUUUUUGUAACAUUAGUUCAGUAUAGAAUAUUGAUGAGUUAUUUGUAAAAUAAAUACAUAAUUGAACAGCAUAUAUUACGGUCAUCACUAGUCAUCUAGCAUAAUUAAAGAUGGCUAUCUUGAUGCAUUUCAAACAACCAAUAUUGUUGAGAUUAUACAGCUUGAAAAUAUAAUUGCAUGAAUUCGAUAUAAAAUGUUUCCUACAGCUUGAAAAUAUGCUAGGGCCAUGCAUAUCAACAUCACUCCUAUGAUAUUGUCAUCAGUGGAAGCUUAUUUCGCAAAAAUUAAAUUAGUCCUUUCUAGAUUAGAGAGAAUACUAAGGGACCAUGUUUUUUAUAUUAUGAGGAGCUCAGAAAGAGUUCAUAGAAAAUCACCACCUCAGGAAAAAAUCAAAAUAUAUUUGUCCCCCACACAAUUAUAUAAUGCUACUACAAUUAGCACUAUUAUAUCCCAACUGCUAUUCCUGAUGAUAUUUAUCUAUUGGUUGAUCAAAAUGAGUAACAAGUAAUUUUAGUAGUAAUGGAAUUUGAAAUUUACUAUUACAUAGGUGAGUUCCACCUCACUUUUGUAUCACAAAGUAAGCAGCUAACCUCAAAAUCCCUUUUCUGUUGGCACCACAGUCUUCAAAAGCUUGGGUCCCACUUUUGCUUCAUGUGCCUCUGUUUCUUGAGCCUCAACCUCUCCCUCUCCCCAUUUUUGGCUGCAAAGCUUCCCUUUUUAUAGCCAAUCAAGUCUCCGCCUCUCCCCAUUUUUGCUGCUAAGCUUCGGCUUUUAUUAGCAAAUUGUUUCAUCCCAUGCAUAUACAAGCAAAUUUUGUUGGUCACUCUCACUUAUCUUGGUCAUUCAAAAAUUUUAUUUGAUCAUAUGUUGUUAAAUAAAUAAAUUAUCAAGGUCCAGUUAGCUAAUGAACAAAUGAAUGAAUUGAAAUUAAUUAAUUUCUAUUUUACAAAUAAUGUAUGAUCAUCAUGAGGAACCACCAAAAUCUCUCAUCAUGUCAUCUCUAGCAUUCCGCAUCUGUGCGAUUUGUCCAAAUAUGGCCCUUUACGUAGUACCGCUGGCAUUGUUUCUUACACCAUUCAACGACGAAGGCUUAUUUUAUUUAAUGAUUUCUGGUUUAUUAGGCUUUUCGUAUUUCCAAAUAAGUUUUAUACAGCCGCUGCUACUAGACUGUGAUACUGCUACCUUGAAGUUUAUUAGAAGCCAACCCGUUGUUUUUAUGGAAACCAAUACCGAUGCUGCUACUACAGUAAAAAGGACCACCUAACAGCUCAGGCUCAGACGAAAUUGUGUAACUUUACAAAUUAUUUGUUUUUAGUUUAUACUAAAUUCGUAGAGCGAUAUAGAGAGAAAGAAAGAGAAAUGUUCAUGUCCAUAAUCUUGAAAUUUAUUAAAAUUUGGGAAAAAAAUUUGGGAAAGUUUUCAAACCAUGAGGUUUAAUAGUGGUUAUGUCUAUGAAAGCUAUUUAAUCAUGUAGUUUAAUAUUAUAAUCAUAUAAUGCUAUUAAAAGACAUAAUUUAAUAGCUUUUUUAAAUUUUAAUAAAGUUCAGAUGCUGGACCAAAUCAACACUAUAUAUAUAUAUAUAUAUAUAUAUAUAUAUAUAUAUAAAAGAUCAACUUGUCAUUUAUGUUACUAACAAUUGAAACCUUAUUAUUAUCAACUUGUCAUUUAUGUUACUAACAAUUGAAACCUUAUUAUUAUAUAUACUUGCUUGUUCACUGCAUUUAAUUAUUUCAGUAAUCAGAAUUAAUUCUUAAUCACUCCUUCCAAAUAAAGGAAUUAGUAUCUGAUGCAAACUCAUGAGUUGAUGAGGAAUUAAUGUGAUACACUUUGUAACAUACUAUGUUUCCAAAUCACCAAAAAAUAAAAAAUAAAUAAAAAAUAAAAUAAAGCACUGCCUAAUGUAUCAUGUUUAGCAAUAAAUUCUUACUACUAUUUUCUUCCAUGUUGUACUCUACUUCAACUCCUGCACGAAUUAAAUGUUACGUCAAUUGCUUGCAGAAAGUAACUCAAUCGAAUUGAAAUUUAUGCAUAGGAGAUUGAAUCCAGAAUUCGAGUCGUCCUGAAACUCAAUUUCCAAUCAUAAAUUUCUCAGAAGAUAGUGACGACCUAAAACUCAAGAAUUUGUUAUUUAAAUUAUUAACUUGAUCGAGCAUGAAAACGUUUACCAUAAGCUUUCCUUACAAAAUGCAAAAGUGAGGAUACCCCACACACACAUAUAUGGGUAAAUUAAAAUAAUAUAGAUUAAAAGAUGAUGGGACAAGACUUGGCCCGCCCUUAAUUUACCCCACACCAUCUCAACAGUCGAAAUAAUAAAAUAAUUCACUAGUUGAAAGGAAUUUAGAUCUAUCACAAACAUAUAUUGCAAUUAAAAACAAAAAGUUAACAGCUUAAUUAAUUUUUUAGAAGUAUUGUUUACAGUUAUUGUUUAUCCGCAUAAAAAAUAUUCAUUUUUUAAAAACACAAUAAAAUGCAGAAAAUAAAUGACACGAAAAUUUUUUCAUGGUUCGGAUUAAUCAAUCCUACAUCCAUGAGGUCAUGCCUAGAUGAAAAGUAAUUUAUUAAGUUGAGAUGUUACAACCUAUAGAUUUACCAAACUUAAGACUCUCAUUUAUAGUUUAUCACCAUACAGUUUACUCAACCUUAGACUGAAUCUGCUUCUCUUGAAUAAUUGAUACCCCUCUUGAUCCACGUUCUUCAAGGCACUUCACAAAGUGAUCAAUAACAAUUCUUCACAAAGUGAUCAAUAACAAUUCUUCAAAUUUUUAACGCCUAGUGAUCUAAGAUCCACAUAGUCUCCACAGAGAUGAAAAGAAGAUAAGAAAACAAAUCAACACAACAUUAUACGCCAAAUCCGAAUUCUCUAGGGAGGAGGCCGAAUUUUGCUUCUCUACUUUAUGCUUUGUGUUGUGCGUCACUUCAAUUGUAAAAUACCUCUUUUUAUAUAGGCAGUAGAGUUUCACCAAAAUAGCAAGUCUUAAAAGACUUGAAUUCUUUUCAAAUAAAAGUUUCUUUCCUCUUAUAAUUCCCAUAAAUCUGAGUAGGAAUAAAUAUGAUCUUCUUGCCUUGCUUGCCUUGCUUGUCUUCCAAGAAAUAUUUAAAGCAUUUAAUGAACUUCCUGUUUGAACAAAUUCUUGAUCUAAACAGAUCUCAUGCGCCAAUUAUAGAAUCUCAUCAUUAAUUGACUUUUUAAAUUAGACAUCUAAUUAAAUUAGGAAAAAAAAAUUCCUAAUAAAUUGGAAUCUCACUAAAUUAGGGAAUUAAUAAAUUAAUCCCUAUUAAAAAAUAUACAAUAAAUAAAUUUUCAAUUUUACUAGACUUGCCAUAAGAUGCCAACUCUAUAAAUAAUGGACUUAACACUAGUGUUUUGUUACAUGACAGAAUUGUUAAUCCAAUUGUGGGAUCGUCAAUAAAUUCCAGUGAUUUUAAUGAAACGGUCAAUGAAUUCUUACAGUGAGAUCCGUAAUUGUACACGCAAUAGAGCACUAUUGGAAUAUCUUACUACCUCAAUAUGUUGACAUGGUAGGACAAUUCGACCCAAAUUUUUCUUGUUGAGUUUUUAUUUUAUUGUCAAAUAUUUAGCUCCUUUCUACUUCAUAUUUUAAAUUUGUUUAUAGAACAACUUUAAAAAAUUAAAAAGAAGUACAAAUAUAUUAAUUUUUAAAAUAUUAAAAAAAAUUCUUUUUGUUUUCUGUUUCUUCUGGAUCGUAUAAGCUAACGCUUAGGUGAAUAAUAACCAACCGACAGUGAAACUAUCAUAAAUCACUUCCAAAACAUUAAAAAUCAUUGAUGACAAUUGUAAUAAGUAAGAGUAAUAUCAAUAAAUAUUUUAAUUAUAGUGUUAUAUAUUAUUAUUUAAAAUUUUCUAAAUUGUAUUAUAUAGAGUUGAUGCACAUGCUCGAACCGAAUAAAAUUUCUACCUAUGUCCUUUGAAGGCGAGACUACACCAUAAUACUAUUGUUAAGAAUAUCAUGAUUAACAUACCCACAGUAAUCACGAUUAUCUCAAAUCUAAAUAAAAAAUUUUGAAUAAUUAAAAUUAAUAUUGUAUUACACUAAACUUAUAGGACAUCUAGAGGAUUAUUUAAUUUGCUUUUAAAAGUAGGAUUUGGGUAAAGUCUAAAUUAAAUUUUAGUCCUCAUCUUCUUAAAAGUUUGAACUUGAAUAACCAAUCAGAUAAAAAUUAUUUGAAAAUGAUUUCAUUAGGCCCCUGGUGACCAUAGAGAGGACUAUAUAUAUUUUAGUUUCUUUGCCAAAACACAAACUACAAACAAGAGAAAAAAGAGAGUAAUGGAACAGAAAGAAAUAGUAACCUAAAUCUAUGGAUGCACAAGCGACAGUUCUUGGGAGUUUUCUCAUGAAGCCUUCGAUUUAGGAGCUGGCAAUGAGUGCGUGCGAGCGACGCUCCACAUGGUGGUCUCUCGUUGAGCAAGUUGUGGGUUCUCAUUGCAUAGCUCACCCAAUGAGUUAGAUGCUACCACGUGUUUCUCACCAGAUCGCUUAUUUUAAUUUAAAACAAGACAUUUGCCUAUCAAAGUAGGAUUCAACUAUGUUACAACUGUGGUACGAUACCUUAGUUGCUUUCAGCUAUUGAAUCUAACUAAUGCAACUGUACAACUGUAAAUCUAAUGACUGAUUGCAACUGUGGUUCCAUAUCCAGUUGCAACCUAAUUUUACCCAUCAAAGUAUCGAAUAUAAAUUUUUAAGUACAGUGGACAAGAAUGUCCGGGCCGGUCUAGUCUAGGCCUGUGGAUUUUUGGACUAACUCUUCACACGAGGACCUAAAUAUGGACAAAAAAUUUUAAAGUAGGCUGUAAAUUGGUCUAGUUAAGGGCUUAUGGAAAAGCCCAAGGUUAUGCUUAUGUAUAGUCCAUGUUCUUGGAAUUGAUAGCUCAAUGUGGUUGAUAUAGCUGGCAAAAUUUAACACGACCCGAUUACUCGACACGAACACGACAUAAAUAAAUGGGUAUGAGUUGUCAAAUUUAACACGAUUAUUAAAUGGGUCGGGUCCGGGUCAACACGAUUUUUUUCCGUGUCGGGUUUGGGUUAAAAUUCUUGACCCAUUUACCCUAUCAAUGACCCGAUUAUAUUUUCUAGUUUAAAAUAAUUUACAUAUUCUUAUAAUUAAAACUCAAAUAUUAGAGAUGAUUUUCUUUUUUUUUAUUCUUUAAAAGGGUGAAUAUAAACACAGUGUUUUAUUUAUAAAAUUUUACAUACAUUUAGAGCUUCAAUAGUGUAAAUGUGUAAAAAUUGAUAGACAUGUAUAUUUUAUAAUAUUGAUAUAUAAUAUUAUAUAUAUAUAUAUAUAUAUAUAUAUAUAUAAAAUUAAAACCUCAAUAGUGUAAAUGUGUAAUAUAUUGGUAGAUAUAUAUAUUUUAUAAUAUCGAUAAAUUAUGUAUGUAUGUAUGUAUGUAUGUAUGUAUGUAUUUAUGUACAUACGUAUGUAUGAUAGUGUGUAAAUAUUUUAUGUAACUUUUGUUCAAUAUAUAGAUAUUAAACGGGUUAUUGGGUAACCCGAUUAUUUUUCCGUGUCGGGUUUGGGUCUCAAUAUUUUGACACGAUUAUUAAAUGGGUCGGGUUUGGGUCGACCUAAAUUUGACAAGACACGAAGCUGACACGACACGAACACGACCCGAUGACCCGUUUUGCCAGCUCUAGUGGUUGAUAUGCUUCUCUUUGUUACUGCUUCUCCUCAGGUAAACUCAUUGUAAAUGAUGCAAUGGAAUUUAUUCUCAUGCUCUCCAGAUUCAAGAUUGGUUCUUGGAAUUCAGAGGUUGCUCUAUUGUCAUUUUAUGCUAGCUGCUCAUAGCCAACAAUCUCAACCCUUUUCUGUAUGUUGCUCAUUUACAUUGUUUAAAGCAUGUACAAAUUCACUGACAUUCUCUCCAUUAUGGCUUGAAUACAUAGCAUUGAGCACCAUAUAAAAAAUUUAGCAGACCAACACUUAAGUCAUCUGUACUUUAAAGCUGUUUUACUACCUAUUUUGCCUGCAGUCCAUUUCCAAACAUUCACAUGUAGGUAUAUGUGUGUGUGUGUGUGUGUGUGUGUGUGUUUGUGGCCCAUAUUUGGUCUUUUAGUGACUAAUGGAGAAUUGGUUGGUGUCCUUUCUUCAAUUCACCUUUCUUUGAAUCUUUGUUGUAAUGGGCAAGACACUAGGAUAGAAUUUCAAAUUGAAAGAGAUUUUGUUUUCCUGAUGGGAAAGUAAACUUUUAAUGACUUCUUCUCAAAUCCAUUAACUACUAUUCAUUCCUAUGUGCUUAUUUGGUAUUAGAAAUUACUAAGCCGAGCAGUGUUGGUGAGGAUUGAAAAGAUAUGUAUAAAGACUCUUGACUUCUUUAUGAUCCAUCUGCCUCAGUUUGCUUAUGUCUGGAAAUAUUUAUUGUUUAGCCAUUGGGAUUAUGUCUGUCUUCACUCUGUGUUAGCCUUAGGGCCUCGUUGUUAUAGAUUUAUGGUGCCGCUGUGCUCAGCCCAUCUAGCUUAAAUGUUGUGUGUGUAUGCGUGUGUGUGUGUGUCUGUUUUUUUUUUUAAUUGUUCACUCAAAGUGACUAAAGUGCAAAGUGAGAUAAAUUUGGCAGGGGGUUGUAAUGUGUGUUUUACUUUGAAUUAAUUUAAGGACUUGCAGCGCUUGCUUGGUCAGUGCUGAAAUGGUUCAAAUUUUGUGUUCUGCUUGCUGAUUUUCUUGUCUAGUUAUUGUUAACACGAGUUUUGAUGGUGCCCCACAGGUGGAGUUCAGACUUGAGAAGCAUAAUGUCUUCCCCUGGUAGCUGGUCCUGUAACAAGAAAUAUCUGUUUCAGGUACCAAACACAAACCUUUUCUUUGUGCUUGUUCUGAAAUGAGUGCAAUUGUUUUGGCUAAGAACCUUGUCGCCAAAAAAGUUGUCGUGUCAAACUGCAUGGUUAUUGCUUAUAUAGUUGUAGAAGCCUGUACUGCUUCAUUUGCGUUCCUGUUAACUUGUUUUAAGUGAUUUCUGACUGACUUCAACUUACCAGGUGAUUGCUAUGGAAAUGUUGUUUUAGAACACUUAAUAGAGAAUUAUAGUGUUUCAAGGAUAUAUGUUUGUUUGCUUCUCUGAAAACAGGAUCAUUACCCAAAGUAUGUAUUCCAUUUCUUCCAACUGAAAUUUGAUGUUAACCAAGGAAUUUAGAGCAUUUUUUUUUCUAUUUUAUUUAUUUUUUUAUUUUUGUUGGUAAGUGAUAAGAUGGUAUAAUUAAUACUCAUCUCGAUCACCUUAUAAGUUUCCCUGGUAUUGAUUUAGAUAUUUAUUUUCUCUCUUCUGGUUUCAGGGGUCUUGAUGCUACACAUCCGAGAGAUGCUUUGCCUUUCUCAGCUGCGGAGAGUUUAAUGUCACGGAACAACUGAUGAGAUUAAUUACUUCAAUAACGUUAACGAUUUACCAAGCCAUUAAUAUCUGAAAUAGAAAUUCAAAAUAAAUUUUCAAUUUCAUAGACAGUACACGAUUUGAUAUCAAUCUAGCAUUUUUUUUUUUAAUAAACUCAAAAGGGUCGGUACUACUGAUGUAAUUCUUUGCUGUAAGCUAGCAAAUAAGAAAACAGUGUCACAAUAUUUUGGUGACCGGGCCGAUGUUGCUAUAAAAUGGCCCAAUGUGGUACUAAUUCAUAUUUUAUUUUCUCCACUGAGAGCCUACAAUCAUUACAUAAAAUCACACACAAACUAAUUUUUUUUUUCCAAUAUUAUUAUUAUUUUUAGUCUGAACUUGUCAAACUGUUCUUGAUUUAUGCUGUACAGUGAGAAAGAACUAGUUGGGUUUAUGAUUAUGUUGCACUAUUUCGGAAAGAUGCAGCAGAGACAGUAGAGCUAAAGUUGAAGAUGAUCAGCAGAAGACAUAGGUUGAAAAAUGAAAUCCGACUCCAGAGCAGUAGCCAGUUCUGGCCACAGGAUAGCAGACACAGUCCAAGAGCCAUCACACUUGGCACUUGGCCUUUGAUUUAUAUAACCAACUCCAGACCUCUCAAUAAUUGAACUCACUGCUCCCAGGACUGGGCUCCCAAACCCAAAGUCCAAUUCAACCACUGGAAAUCUUCUUCCUGAUGACAUCAGGACUGCUGGACCGUCUCUCCCGAGCACCACUCUUGCCGGCAUCAAUCCAGGCCUGUGGCACUCUAUCCAAUCAAUCAGGUCCAAGAAGUGAGCUUCAUUUGUCACUUUUGUUAUUGAAUCAUGAACCCUGCUGGCAAUUUCUGAUAUGGACCCUUGCUUCAGUUCUGUAACACUUGCUUCUCCAACAGCCAGAGCCAAAACAUUUCCUAUGUAACUUGACAUGGGAUUUUCAUAUUUACGAAUUCUACUGCAUCCAUCAAGUAACCAAUCCAUCUUGCACUUUUCACGUUUCUUGUCGAUGGAAGUGACCAUAAUCUUCCAUAUGUAAGCUGAGAAAGCUUCAACUUUUGUUCUUUUUUUGCCAUUCACAGAUGCGAGUUGUUGCAGCCUGCUAAUGCUUGAAGCAUCAAUGUGGUAGAAGCGCUUCAGCAAGAUGUUCGUUGGCGGAAUGUUUGAGAUCUCUUCUAUGGUGCACUUGACAAAAGUUUGAUCCAAAGAAGGAUGAUAGCUUGGCGGGAAACGUGCACGAAGGUUUCUCCGAAGAUCUGGUGAGCAUGUUAUUGGUUUUUGUUGAGCUAUUUCUGACCAUGAGACAAGAAACUUGCCGAAGGUACUUGCAUCGCCAAGUGCAUGGUCGAAACUGAAAGUAAUCGAAAUGCCUCCACAGGUGUAACUUGUCACUUGGAUUUGCAAAGGGAAGUCUGGCUGAAUAGAGACUAGCUUUCCUUGAAGAGAUUCAUUAAGGUUGUAGAAAUCGAGAUUCACUAAAGGGAUAUUGGCUUCGGCUUCUAAAACUAGCGCUCCAUUCUUGUCACAAAUGAUCUCGGGCUCGUUAGUUUGAGGAUUCUGAAUGAUUCUACCAGCAAAAGGGUAGUAAAAAUUCAGAGUUUUAGCAAGGGAGAUUCUCAGGGUCUGGAUGAUUAAGGGAUAGUUUUUGCCAAAAGGCCUGCAGUAGAAGUAGAAGUAUGUGACUGGAAAACGGCCGGAAAGUAGGUCAAGGUUUGAGAGUUGAAGGGUAUGAGGCUCUGGCAAGGGACCCAUAGCUUUGACAAUACUUUUUCCAGUGGGUUUUACUUCAAGUUUUCCAUCUGCUGAAGCCUGCAGUAAUUCCAUUGGAUUGUUGCCAAAACGUUUGUGUCAUAUAGCAAAGCUCAAGUGUAUGAUAUUUCAUCAAUUAGAGAUACAUUUAUAUAGUGAAGUGAUUUUAUUACUUUUUGGCAUCAGCAAGCACUUGGCAAGUUUGGAUCGUCGAGUUUGGCUGACAACAUGAUAGUGGAAUGAAAGUUGUUGAUCUGGGAAUCACUUUUGGGUUUAAAAUUAAACCAACUUUUCUUUGCAUAUUGGAAGAAAAAUACUAGAUGUAAUAGAGUGACUCAUUAUUUCCGGAAAAAACUUAUAUAGGGUCAUCCCAUUAUCUCAACAUGUUAAGGUGGUAAGACAUGAGAUGACUAGUAAAAUUGUGUGUUUUAAACUGAGAUCCAUUAACUACUUUAAUUAUAAAUUUAGUGGGUCUCACUUUGGAUCUUACUGAUAAUCUCAUUAUAGGUCCACUGCUCUGUCACAUACUAGAGUAAUAUUAAACCGUCAUAUUUCUACCAUAUUGUUAUAAGGAGACAGUAAAACCAUUUUUUACAUAUUUCUUUCAUUGCUUCCCAACCCUAACAUGUAUAAGAGCACAUUAUAAUUGCAACAAAUUUUCAAGGAUAAACCAAUCAAAUAAUGGAGUUUGGGAGAAGAGAAUCCCACUUGUUGAUAUGGUCCAAAGUAUGCAUUAUCAUAAGAAAAACAAACUGUUGGCAGUAGCAUACAUGGCAGCAUAUUUUGUUUGUAAAGAUUCUCAUUGUAAAACAAACUUAAAGAGUCCACAAACAAUCAAAAUCUUGCGAUAUACUUAAGUGGAUCUUUGGUGACAAAGAGUGGUACAUGUCAUUAUAAUCAAGAUUUUUGUUGGGGUUUGCUGAAAGCAUGAAACUAUAUAUACCCACUAACAUCUUGUCAACACUAGUAUUUACACUGUAUUGAUCAUCGUCACAAUGCAGUUCAAUAGUUGACGAGAGAAUAAAUUUUACGGAAGGGUAAUGAUACAGUCGUAAAGUAUUUUUUAUAGGAAUAAUGUUGUAUAAACUAAUAUGAUAUGAUUUAUUAUAACUGGUUGAAUUAAAAAUAUUAUAUGACUCAAAUGAUUUUUUUAUUUUUUAUUUUCAAUCGACUAAUCAGAUUAUUCCACAUCAAAUUAUAGAAGAUUGUUUCUUCACAAUUUCUCUAUAUAAAAUAUUGUCGAGUGUGGUUUCAUUUUAUUGCGAUGAUGUCCCCAUUGCUGAGUUUCGGUUCCCGUUGUAGGUUGUUGCAGAAUUAUGUCAUCACCCAAGGCCCAAGGGUUGGUUUCGGUAAGUCUAGGCGAGCUGGGCUGUGCUCAUACAUUCUUCAUGAUAAAAUUUCAUUAGCCCAUUUUUUAAUUAUGUUAUUUAUUCUAAAAUUAUUCUUACGAAAAAAUAAAAAAUAUUAAAAAAUUUUUUUUCUUCACUCUCAAUCUCUCAACCGAUUAACUUCUCAUUUCUCUCAAUUUUCUUUUUUGAUUCAAAAUUUGAAUGAAAUAUUAAGUCUUAAUCAAAUCCCAUAUUAAAAUUAAACAAAAUCUUAGGUUAUCACACAAAGAAAAACUAAUAUCAACAGUAACAAAAAAAUAAAUCACUUGUUUAUAAAAUUUAACCAAACCCAAUAUUGAAACUUGGGUGGAGUUGAUGGCUAAGCUAAAGAGAGUGGGGUGGGGGAGAGAGAUAAAAUAAAAUUAAAAAAAAAUAUUUUCAACAAGGUUAAUUUUGAAAAUAAUAAGACAAACUAAAAAAUAGAGGCUAGUGAGACAAUUUAAGGGGGGUCAAAUAUCAUUACUCUUAAAGAAAAUAUUAUAUCAAACCAAAUACAUAUUAUAAAUCUAAAUUAGAACGAGAAAAUUCUUGAUGUUCUUACGUAAUCCUCCUUAUUUAUUUAUAAUUCGUCAUGCAUAUAUAAAUAUUACCACAAUUAUUAAAAAAAUAUACGCGACAAGAAGUGGAUGAAAUUAAAAUGGAGAAAAUGCUCCUAAAACAUCCAAGAGAAGAAAUCAAACUACAACAAAUAACAACUUGACAGCCAUGGAGAUAUCUCUCCUGCGCUCCUUUACAAUAUUCUUUACCACUAAUAUUGGUUCGGACAAGGAAAUGACAGAAACGCCUAGGCGUGUUUCGUUAAUAAGAGAUAAGUCAUUUUUUCACUUUUGAAAUUUUAUUUACCAAUCUGAUUGCAUGUAGAAAGUGGAAAAAACGACAGCCACAUCCUGCAUUAUCCAUUGGCCCCCAUAUGAGACUUGAGCUUGAUCAUCUCCAUAAUGGAAAAUAUUUGAGUAACCAUAUGUUGCAAACUAAUCUUACUUGAUUGAUUGAUAUACAUUCUUCAUGUGAUCGCACGUGCAUUUGUUGUUCAUAAAUUUGUGCCCUAACCCGGCUUUCAUAAAAUAAUCCAUGGUACCUUUCUCACGUUUGGAACCUACUAGAAUUCCCCCACACUUAAUAUUUUUCACUUGUGCAUUGUUCAUAAAGAUCUAUCGUGCGUGAUUGUAAUAAAACUGUGGUUAUAGGUUUUGAUCUAGCUAGAAAUUCUUAUUGAGCCAAAAAAAUACUAUUGUACUAUACCCAUUAAUGUAACAUGUCGAUUAUGGCUUCAAAAAGCUAGGAUGUAAAGCUUUGAUACUAUAUAUAGGCUAUACAGUUACAUUAAUUACCAAAAAGUCGAAUAUGAAUGCAAGGAAAAUGUGGUCCCAUAUGUCACAUGUUAAAGUACUGUAGUGCAUUCAUUUCCAUUCUUCAAAUCCUUUGAUCAUCCAUUAUAUAAGCCAUGAAGCAGUGGUGGCAUUUCACAAAUCCUACUUGAGAGAUAUAAGCCAUUGCCUUUCCUAACAGGCUGAUUCAUCAUCAUCAUCCUUAGCUUCCAUGGCAACCCAAAUUGCGACCUUGUCAUCAAGAUUAAUCCAGCACCGUAAAACCAAAGGGUCCAAGAAAAUCUGGCCGACAACGUCACAUCAGCAUUCUGAGCGCUGGACUCAUCAUAACUCGGAUCAAAUUAAUGAUGAUCAUGUGAAGGGAAAGAAGAUGAAGAUGAAGAUGAAGAUGAAGCGGAAGCCAAAACACUGGGCACAAGAACGUUCGAGAUUAGGGUUUUGGUACGUGACAACAUCUAUAAGAUACAUACUAAGCAAGGCAAGAGCCUUUUACAAUGAGUUCUGCAGCG
rnacentral:lncRNA from 1 species